GGGGAAUUUUGGACAAUGGGGGCAACCCUGAUCCAGCCAUGCCGCGUGAGUGAAGAAGGCCUUCGGGUUGUAAAGCUCUUUCGGCCGGGAAGAAAUCGUGCAGGCUAAUACCCUGUAUGGAUGACGGUACCGGAAUAAGAAGCACCGGCUAACUACGUGCCAGCAGCCGCGGUAAUACGUAGGGUGCGAGCGUUAAUCGGAAUUACUGGGCGUAAAGCGUGCGCAGGCGGAUCGUUAAGUCAGGGGUGAAAUCCUGGGGCUCAACCUCAGAACUGCCCUUGAUACUGGCGAUCUCGAGUUCGAGAGAGGUUGGUGGAACUCCGAGUGUAGAGGUGAAAUUCGUAGAUAUUCGGAAGAACACCAGUGGCGAAGGCGGCCAACUGGCUCGAUACUGACGCUGAGGUGCGAAAGCGUGGGGAGCAAACA
rnacentral:rRNA from 1 species